rnacentral:rRNA from 1 species
GAUCCUGGCUCAGGAUGAACGCUAGCUACAGGCUUAACACAUGCAAGUCGAGGGGCAGCAUGGUCUUAGCUUGCUAAGGCUGAUGGCGACCGGCGCACGGGUGAGUAACACGUAUCCAACCUGCCGUCUACUCUUGGCCAGCCUUCUGAAAGGAAGAUUAAUCCAGGAUGGGAUCAUGAGUUCACAUGUCCGCAUGAUUAAAGGUAUUUUCCGGUUAGACGAUGGGGAGUG